GUGGGGAAUAUUGGACAAUGGGCGCAAGCCUGAUCCAGCCAUGCCGCGUGAGUGAUGAAGGCCUUAGGGUUGUAAAGCUCUUUCAGUGGGGACGAUAAUGACGGUACCCACAGAAGAAGCCCCGGCUAACUUCGUGCCAGCAGCCGCGGUAAUACGAAGGGGGCUAGCGUUGUUCGGAUUUACUGGGCUUACAGCCCACGUAGGCCGAUCUUUAAGUCGGGGGUGAAAUCCUGGAGCGGAACUACAGAACUGCCGUCGAUACUGGCGAGCUUGAGUCCGGAAGAGGUGAGUGGAACUCCUAGUGUAGAGGUGGAAUUCGUAGAUAUUAGGAAGAACACCAGUGGCGAAGGCGGCUCACUGGUCCGGUACUGACGCUGAGGUGCGAAAGCGUGGGGAGCAAACAGGAUUAGAUACCCGUGUAGUCC
rnacentral:rRNA from 1 species